UACGUAGGGUGCAAGCGUUAAUCGGAAUUACUGGACGUAAAGCGUGCGCAGGCGGCUUUGCAAGACAGAUGUGAAAUCCCCGGGCUCAACCUGGGAACUGCAUUUGUGACUGCAUGGCUUGAGUUCGGGAGAGGGAAGCGGAAUUCCGGGUGUAGCGGUGAAAUGCGUAGAUAUCCGGAGGAACACCGGUGGCGAAGGCGGCUUCCUGGACCGACACUGACGCUGAGGCGCGAAAGCCAGGGGAGCAAACGGG
rnacentral:rRNA from 1 species